rnacentral:rRNA from 1 species
UACGUAGGGUGCGAGCGUUGUCCGGAAUUAUUGGGCGUAAAGAGCUCGUAGGCGGUCUGUCGCGUCGGCUGUGAAAACUUGGGGCUCAACCCCAAGCCUGCAGUCGAUACGGGCAGACUAGAGUGCGGUAGGGGAGACUGGAAUUCCUGGUGUAGCGGUGAAAUGCGCAGAUAUCAGGAGGACACCGGUGGCGAAGGCGG